CCGGGGUGGCGGCGGGCAUCACCGCCGGCGCUUCGGCGGCGUCGGUCGCCGCCAGCUCGGUUGCCGGCGCUUCGGGC
rnacentral:tRNA from 1 species